AGGAAUAGCGGGGACUCUCGCACCUCUUCGCUGUUCAUACACCUCUGCAGCUGCUGUUGUGCUGCUGUUGUACCGCAACACUGAUCCAAUGACUUUUCCAGGUUUUGCAGUAGAGCCUUGGACCCUCUGAGGAACUUGUAGUGGAACUCUCGUCACUGGAACCAUGCAAGUAUCUUGUUGUGGCUUGUCAGCUUCCUUAAUGUAACAUUUAGGAACAUCCUCAGCUAUGUCAGCUGAAUUUUGUGGUGUGUUCCCUGGAUGAAAUACACAGGCUCGGGGUAAAGAUGCAUGCUGCCUCUCAGGUGGUG
rnacentral:misc_RNA from 1 species